GACGAACGCUGGCGGCGUGCUUAACACAUGCAAGUCGAGCGGUAAGGCCCUUUCGGGGGUACACGAGCGGCGAACGGGUGAGUAACACGUGGGUGACCUGCCCUCAGCUCUGGGAUAAGCCUGGGAAACUGGGUCUAAUACUGGAUAUGACUCCACGGUGCAUGUCGUGGGGUGGAAAGCCUUGUGCGGCUGAGGAUGGGCCCGCGGCCUAUCAGCUUGUUGGGAGGUGAUGGCCUACCAAGGCGACGACGGGUAGCCGGCCUGAGAGGGCGACCGGCCACACUGGGACUGAGACACGGCCCAGACUCCUACGGGAGGCAGCAGUGGGGAAUCUUGCGCAAUGGGCGAAAGCCUGACGCAGCGACGCCGCGUGAGGGAUGACGGCCUCGGUU
rnacentral:rRNA from 1 species